ACACUUCAGUGAACGACUCAUUGAGUUUCCAUGGGUAACCAGGGACUCGCUAAAUAGCAGUGAAACGUCUUAGCAUCUCAGCUAGCUGCUUUAGCGCAACAUUGCAUGUGUAAUAUAUAAAAUAAAAUGUUUCGCCAAUUGCAGUUCAAUGAUUUAAUAUGAAGACUAAAAUAUAUUUAAUUGCUAGUUAGCCAGCUAGCUUGAGGGAUAACGCUAAACAGCAGCUAGCAUAACGUUACCCACCUAGCAUUGUCGCUUUUAAACCUGUAGGUACCUGUAGUUAUUAUUAUUAUAAGCGUCUUGACUGUUUUUGAGGAAUUGUUUUGUCUAAUUUGGUUAAAAAAUAAAAUGUUCACGGAUGAAUCUCUGGAUGUUGUCGGGUUUCAGUCAUCGUGGAAAAAGUCGCAUGGACAGACUCAAGACUCGAAAACGAGUCAGACUGUUCCAGUUCACACAGCCGAGGCUGAGACGCAGGUCAGAAGUGUGGUAAGCAACAGCACACAGACCGAUCCUUCAGAGAGCCUCAAUGAUCAGCUUACACUCCACUUGGAUCUGUCAGCUGAGCCGCCUGGGCUGAGGGAUUUCCUACAUCGUGUGGAGGACCUGGUCAUCCAGGAGCUGGUGAAGAACUCAAAGAGCCAUGCUUUUGAUGGAUAUGAAGUGAACUGGACUGAUCAGCAUGAGACGGUCUCAUGUUUAUUCCGUCUCGGGUUCUGUGAGGCUCAGGACAGGGGGCUGCAGGUGACCAGCGUGUCCUGGAACUGCACCGGUUCUGUUAUAGUGUGUGCUUUUGGACGUGUCGAUGAUGGUGACUGGAGCACUGAGAGGUCGUACGUGUGCACAUGGAAUCUGGACCGUAGAAGAGUGAACCCGAAACAACCCGACAUGGUCAUAGAGACGGCAACACCUGUCAUGAGUGUGUCUUUCCAUCCACUGCGUCCAUCUCUGAUUGCAGGAGGUCUGUACAGUGGAGAAGUGAUGGUGUGGGAUACAAGUCGCACUCAGGAUCCUGUUUUAGCUCAAACAGGGAUGUGUUCAAAUACACACAAAGAGCCAGUUUAUGAGGUGAAGUGGGUCCCAGGGCCUCGUCGAGGAGAGAUGUUGGUUGUAAGUGCGUGUUCAGGAGGUCGAGUCCUGCGCUGGAGUGUAGAUGGAGCAGAAGGUAAACUGAUCCUAACUUCUGGAUUCGCUCUCAUCAGGCAGCAGCUCCCUCUGAGCCGAUCAGCCAACAGGGUGAGAGGCGACACAGCUAUAGGCGUGACCUCUCUUGCGCUCUCACCCUGGGAUACAGACAUGUUCCUGGUGGGAACUGAGGGGGGUCUGGUGCUCAAGUGUUCCUUCAGCAGUCAGACAGUUGCUGCAGUGCCCUCUGAUGGCGAGAGUGUGACACUACACGCUCCUGCACAGUUCUCCUUCUCACCACGAGCCGGCCCCAUCCAGUCGCUCCACUUCUCCCCCUUCCACAGGAACCUGUUUGUGAGUGUGGGGACCGACGGCUUGGCGCAUGUCCACAGUGUCCUGCAACCUGCUCCCCUGCUGUCCCUGCGUGUUUCUGACUCGUACGUGUUUGGAGCUCGGUGGUCACCCGUUCGGCCACUAGUGUUCGUGGCAGUCACUGGGCAAGGUGUGUUGCAAGUGUUUGAUUUGGGUCAGAAGUGUCUCAGACCAGUGGCCACCAUUGAGCAGGACACUGGGGCUCAGUCUGCUCUGUGUGUGGAGUUUAACCAGCAGCAGCUCCUGGCAGUGGGGAAUGCAGACGGUACAGUGAAUAUCUGGCAGCUGAGCGGCGAGUUCACAGAGCAGCAGCCCAGAGAAAACGCCAUCCUGCAACAGCUGGCAGACGAUGUACCCGAGUGACCCACAAAGGCUGCAGGGUGAAGUCCAGAACAAAGAACUCUUCCCUUCUUAGUGACAGCGAUUUGAGCUGCGUUUGGGUGUAAAAACGCACCGAAAUGCAGAAAUAAACCUCAUCGGUACAGAUCACUGCAGAAACGAGCUAUGAGGCAUGCAAUGUGAAUGUAGCUCUAAGUUCCACACCAUCUGAUCACCUGGAGAAAGAGAGGGGAGGAGACGUCAAGGAGAAGCUGACUGUUUCAGACACGCGAGUAUGAAGCAGCUAUGGCACUGCAUUAUCACAAACCAAUAAACGACUACAGCAGAGCAUAACAUAGGUCUCCGUUCCCUCUCACUCUCACCCCAAGGUCAACCCUGUGUUUGUUAUGCAGACCCUCAACACGUUUAUGGUGUGGAACAAAUUCCAAACAAAAAUCAGCCCAAAUCUGACGAACAGACCAAAAAAAUUACCACAAACUGCUGGAACAAAAACACAUUACAGCGCAGGAGAUGCGGAAAUAAAAUGAGUCCAUAAAGAAGCAGACAGACAGGACAAGGUGGGGACACAGACCAGGGACACUGGUUGGAGCUCUACUACACACACACACACACACACACACAAAGGCAUACAUGUGAUGAAACCCUACUAAUGUUAGUAAGCGAGCACUCUACUCCACUUACCAGCAGCUUGGACAGCUAAAAAUAAGACAUGAGAACAGAGAGAGGUUCAGUUUGAUUCAGUACACACUGAGGGGGUUACAGGAGAGACAGGAAGCAUUACCAGGCUUUAUAACUCAAGUCUAUUAAACAGUAAUAAUUUAAUUAUUAGGAUUAGAUUACACUCAAACCUGUAGAACAAUAUACAAAACUGCUAGUACAACUAGAGCUGGACCAAAUUAAAGAGCACUUAUAUCAGUAGAAAGAAAAAUCGACAGGUAAAUAAAUCAUUUUAUUUUGAAGGGCAAGCAUCUGCAUUCUCUGCAUCAAUUCAUUUACAUUAAAAAAAAAAAUAUUCAAUGGUUUGACAUUAAAGCCAUUUAAGCAGCUGUAGUCUUUUUCACGUUUUUACACACGUUGCUGUCAGACUGGAAACUCACGAGAUGAAGAAAGGCAUUUGCUAACAUGGGUGUAUACAUAUUACUUGUGCUGUAUCAAAUUUACUGCCUUCAAACUUUCAUUCCAGUUACUACUUUAUCCUGUUUGAGGUUAUGAUGAUAAAAAAUAGUUUUAUUAUUUCAACAAAUACAAUCAACUACCCUCGUCAGAAAAUACUGCAGACAAACAAUAAGAACUGAUGGGCAGGAGGGAAUGGAAUUCCCAACUAUCCUCAUCAUUAACCAAAAUGAAAAUUAACGUUAAAAU